UUCGGAGGUCAGCGGCGGACGGGUGAGUAACACGUGGGCAACCUGCCUGUAAGACUGGGAUAACUCCGGGAAACCGGAGCUAAUACCGGAUAGUAUCUUGAACCGCAUGGUUCAAGUUGGAAAGACGGUUUCGGCUGUCACUUACAGAUGGGCCCGCGGCGCAUUAGCUAGUUGGUGAGGUAAUGGCUCACCAAGGCAACGAUGCGUAGCCGACCUGAGAGGGUGAUCGGCCACACUGGGACUGAGACACGGCCCAGACUCCUACGGGAGGCAGCAGUAGGGAAUCUUCCGCAAUGGACGAAAGUCUGACGGAGCAACGCCGCGUGAGUGAUGAAGGUUUUCGGAUCGUAAAACUCUGUUGUUAGGGAAGAACAAGUGCGAGAGUAACUGCUCGCACCUUGACGGUACCUAACCAGAAAGCCACGGCUAACUACGUGCCAGCAGCCGCGGUAAUACGUAGGUGGCAAGCGUUGUCCGGAAUUAUUGGGCGUAAAGCGCGCGCAGGCGGUUUCUUAAGUCUGAUGUGAAAGCCCCCGGCUCAACCGGGGAGGGUCAUUGGAAACUGGGAAACUUGAGUGCAGAAGAGGAGAGUGGAAUUCCACGUGUAGCGGUGAAAUGCGUAGAGAUGUGGAGGAACACCAGUGGCGAAGGCGACUCUCUGGUCUGUAACUGACGCUGAGGCGCGAAAGCGUGGGGAGCGAACAGGAUUAGAUACCCUGGUAGUCCACGCCGUAAACGAUGAGUGCUAAGUGUUAGAGGGUUUCCGCCCUUUAGUGCUGCAGCUAACGCAUUAAGCACUCCGCCUGGGGAGUACGGUCGCAAGACUGAAACUCAAAGGAAUUGACGGGGGCCCGCACAAGCGGUGGAGCAUGUGGUUUAAUUCGAAGCAACGCGAAGAACCUUACCAGGUCUUGACAUCCUUUGCCACUUCUAGAGAUAGAAGGUUCCCCUUCGGGGGACAAAGUGACAGGUGGUGCAUGGUUGUCGUCAGCUCGUGUCGUGAGAUGUUGGGUUAAGUCCCGCAACGAGCGCAACCCUUGAUCUUAGUUGCCAGCAUUCAGUUGGGCACUCUAAGGUGACUGCCGGUGACAAACCGGAAGAAGGUGGGGAUGACGUCAAAUCAUCAUGCCCCUUAUGAC
rnacentral:rRNA from 2 species